UGGCGGACGGGUGAGGAAUACAUCGGAAUCUACUCUGUCGUGGGGGAUAACGUAGGGAAACUUACGCUAAUACCGCAUACGACCUACGGGUGAAAGCAGGGGAUCUUCGGACCUUGCGCGAUUGAAUGAGCCGAUGUCGGAUUAGCUAGUUGGCGGGGUAAAGGCCCACCAAGGCGACGAUCCGUAGCUGGUCUGAGAGGAUGAUCAGCCACACUGGAACUGAGACACGGUCCAGACUCCUACGGGAGGCAGCAGGA
rnacentral:rRNA from 1 species